rnacentral:lncRNA from 1 species
UUAUUUAUUAAAAAAGGCAUAUACAAAUGAACUCUUCUCUAAUUUAUCUUUAAAACGAUUUCCUCUCCCAACAAAAAUAAAAAAUGGAUAUGAAAAUCGAUCUUGGUAUUAGAACCAAUUAACGCCCCAUAAUUAAUUACUGGUGAUACCAGAUGACUAGCUAGGUGUCCCCUAAACUCGACCCAAUAGCCCAGCAAGCAAGUCGACCCGAAUAUACACACAGGAAAUGCCCAAGGGUUCGAAGCAUCACCAGCAGCGAAGCGAGGAUGCAUCGCCUAAGGGCGGAGCAGCCACUGAGAAACAGAAAACGAUUUAAUCGACCGACUGUUACUCUUUCAGGCGCCUCCCGAUGAGAGAACCGAUCGAUCUAUGGGAACCAUGAUAGAUAUCCCACUAUACUCUAUAUACCACCACAGACCACAGAAGCUGGCAUCUGCCACCGUUCAGAUUCUACCCAUUAAUGCCUAGGCAUGCUUGUUGGAUAGGUGAUGUCCGUACGUCACUAUCAUUCAAGUCGCAAGCCACACCCCUUACUGGAAUAUUGAAGACAGAUCUGUCUCCCAUAGUUGCACGUAGGGCUGUUGAGAUCACAGACAACCCCUCAUUAGGUACUCUUUCUACAUGGACUCAUUGGUAUGAAUAUUCUCAAAGGCAUCCCACGCAGCGCCAGAAAUUCUACGCUUCAUCAUACAGCAGGGAUCUAAAACAAGCCACAUCAUUCUCAGUAUCCGUUCGUUGUGUGUAAAAUAUUUUAUAGAAAGAGACACCUGAAAAACUAUAAAAUACAAUAAAAAAUAUUGUUAAAAUAAAUUAAAAUCAUAUAGAAACUUGUGAGUUUAUUUCGAGAAGAAUGUAUGGAUCAAUGUUUUACAUAAUGAUAU